AUUCGAUGCGAUCACAUCUAAUUACAAUGAGAAUCAGUAAAAGUCCACUUACUUUGGUGUUUGCAUUACUUAUCAGUGUAGGCGAAAUCCAAGGGAUUCCCGAGAGCAAGUCGAAUCUACUGCCUUCAGAUUGUGGAUCCAGUGUAACCGCCGACGGUGGAGGGUAUGCUGGAACUGAAGUGGCCAAGUAUCCCUGGAUGGCCAUCCUACGGUAUAACACCAGCAGAGGCAGCGUGGACGCUUGCAUUGGCACACUAAUCAACACACGCUACGUACUGACGGCUGGCCAUUGCUUGAAUUAUCCACGACGUCAACCUCUCACUGUCAUUCUUGGCGAGUACGACCAAUCACGGAAUCCUGACUGUUACUAUAAACACGAUUCAACGGGGAAAAACUCGAUCCAACCAGUUUGGAGACCGAGGAAUUCGGUGUUGAUUCAGUUAUGGUUCAUCCAGAUUUCGACCGACGAAGGUAUCAGAAUGACAUUGGACUGAUUCGGCUAGAUCGAGAUGUCACGGUGAAAAAUCACAUCCGAGCGAUAUGUUUGCCCUUAACCACCGCAUUGCAUGGAGAAAACGCUGAAAGCUACGUCGUGACAACUUGGAAGAUGGACGUCGGUGCACCUCCAACGAGCUCGAACACCUUGCUAGAAGUGACUGUUUCUCGUAUCAAUAGCACGGAUUGUGAGCAGAAACUUGCCAGAAUAAGCAACAGGAUGAAACUGAGUGAGAGGCAGAUAUGCACAGAGGGAUCAGAUCAAAUUUGCCGUGGAAGCGCCGGAGCACCUUUGGGAAACAGUGUCUCGCAUAAUAAUGGAGAACGCUUCGUACAAUACGGAAUAGUCUCAAUCGGUUCAGCCCGGUGUGAACUUAGCGAUGUACCUGAAGUGUACACUCGGGUGGCUAGCUAUAUGGAGUGGAUUCUAAGCACGAUUGUACCCUAGUUUUCUAUAAGCUGUGUUAUAACAAAAAAAAAUUGGAGGUAUUAAAAAUGAUCUUAAUCUUGAAUUGCCCAAAAAAAUAUAAUGUACAGAACAUAGUACCGAACUCGGUUGAUUUUCAACCGAGUUUUUAUCUGCUGAACGUUCGGUAGUUCACUCGGUUCAAGAAAAAGCAACCGAGUCUUCGGUAUACCUUUUCGAAGCAUCGAUCUGUCAAACCUACCGAAAAAAGUCGGUUGACAAGAACGAACAACCGAAUUUCGGUUAGUUUCUAUGAUCUAUCCAUUCUACCGAACUCUGUCAAAUAAACUGGAAAUCGGUUCUUUUUAACAGAGCUUAAUAAAAACCAAAAUUUUCUUUCGUCUAGAAAAAAGCCUAGCCAAGUUUUUAGCAAAAUACAUUUUAUUACUUAUUUAAUUGUUCUUUUAUUACGCACACUUCUUAUCCGGGGUAUUUUAAAGCAAGCUUUCGCAGCUUCCUGGCUUUUCACUUGCUUUUCUGGAAGCAGUACACCACAAUCUUCACGAUAUGUGACAUGUUCUUGCUAACUGCACCAUGAAAGGUUCCUGAAGGAAGAGUCAACCUUCAAUGAAGUUUCCCGUACGUAUCCUCGGGCUAAAACACAGAUAAGCAUUAAUGUUCUGUUGGAUUAUUGAAAAAAAAAAAUACUUACCAGGUAUUAAUCAACUUUUGUUGCCUCUGAAAGGCCUCUUUCCAAUUUUCACAAAGCAAAAACAUCUUAUUUUCUUUUGAUAACUAACCCAGGAACUAAUCAAGUCAAGAACAAACAUGGCUGAAAUCAAAUUCAUGUGAAAACGGAUUGUUCGGUUUCUUUAUCCGGUGUGAGAUUCACCCCGAUGACGUUUCCAAGUUUUACCGAGUUUUUUUUUUGGUUUUCGCUAACCGAACUCGUUCAUACAACGAUGCUACCGUACUUUUCGGUUCAGCCAGCAUCAAAAUAAUCAAUGUUGUCAAACGGGAGCCGAAAAUUCGGUUAAAUUCCAAAAUAUUGUUGUAAACAACAGGUUUUUAAACGAAUCAUUCGAUUUUUUGUUGGAAACCGACUAGAUUCGUUUUAAAUGUGAACCCGAGUUCGGUACUAUAUUUUAAGUGUGUAGAGAACAUUAUUUUAUCAGAACUCUUGGUAAUUUCGGUAUGCGAAAAAAAGAACAUCGCCCUGCUUUAAACCGUCUAAGGUUACGAACGAUGACGAAAUUUC